rnacentral:rRNA from 1 species
UACGUAGGGGGCAAGCGUUGGUCCGGAAUCAUUGGGCGUAAAGCGCGCGUAGGCGGCCCGGUAAGUCCGCUGUAAAAGUCCAGGGCUCAACCCUGGAAAGCCGGUGGAUACUGUCGGGCUAGAGUCCGGAAGAGGCGAGUGGAAUUCCUGGUGUAGCGGUGAAAUGCGCAGAUAUCAGGAGGAACACCAAUGGCGAAGGCAGCUCGCUGGGACGGUGACUGACGCUGAGACGCGAAAGCGUGGGGAGCAAACAGG